GCCCUAGUAACGGCGAGUGAAGCGGCACAGCUCAAUUUGAAAUCUGGCUCUUUCAGAGUCCGAGUUGUAAUUUGCAGAGGGCGCUUUGGCUUUGGCAGCGGUCCAAGUUCCUUGGAACAGGACGUCACAGAGGGUGAGAAUCCCGUACGUGGUCGCUAGCUAUUGCCGUGUAAAGCCCCUUCGACGAGUCGAGUUGUUUG
rnacentral:rRNA from 1 species